rnacentral:tRNA from 1 species
UCCUCCAUAGCUCAGUGGUUGGAGCGUCCAACCGGCACCUGGAAGGUCAUGGGUUCGAUUCCCGUUGGGGAGCUCAGAA